UUUCUUUCUUCUUCUCUCUAUACGUUGGUGUUCUAACCAAUAAUCACCGAUGCGAUGUUCUGUCCGAUCGAUUCAUGAACCAACUAACGGAUGCCAAAGUAUUGUAUUUUGUGAGUUCGUUAAAACGGAUGCCAAAAUGCUGUCUAAACAAGACUAUACUUUGUGAAUUUCGUUAAGGUUCGAAUCUCGUGACUACCGUUAAGGUUUGAUUUGGGUUUUACACACAUACGUAUUCCAUUCUGUUAAACUAUAUGUUUAACCAUCCGAAUACUCCCAACUAUACGCUUACAAUCAAAAUUGAUGCUUAAUCAUCAGAAGAUCCAAAAUAAUAAAAAUGACUCACAAACUGUGAGAAAAGAGAAUGGACUCACUUUGCAGAUUUAAUGAGCAGAGUAUAAGCCUACUGAUUUAGCCUUGGUUAACCCUGAUUUUAAAUAAUAAUGCACACAAACUGGGUUAGUAACUAAUACAGCAGUUACGACAAUUCACGAGAUUAAACCCUCACAACGAUUAACAAAGUGCAAUACUUAACAAUUCAGCGGAUUCACAACGAAUGACAGAGUAUAGUCCGAGUUCGGACAGCACUCAAACAUUCAAGUCGAAAUCAUGAUGAAUAACAAAGUAUAAACUCAAUUUGAGCAGCACUUAAUCAUACGUUGGAUAGUUUCAAUCGAUCGGACAUUGAAUCGUAAUAGCGAUCGAGUUAUUACCCUGAUUGCGGCAGCGAUUUGUGAAUCGUGUGUGUUUAGGACUGAUUCUACGAUACCUCAGUGUAGAAUUAGAGUUUGGAGGUUGAAUUAAAGCAGAAUGUCAAGUCCCAGACCCGACUAUUUAUACCCAGAAGAUCGCCCCCUCGCGCCACGCGAAAGGUCUCCCUGUGCGCGUCGCGUGGCGCGAGAGACCCUAAUCUAGCUGAUGUGUUGAAAAAUACACAUAUUAGUCCCAUGUAAAGUGUAUGAUUAUUGUAUAGUUUUUAUUUGUUUUAUUUAGUUUUUAGGGUUAUAUUAUAUUAUUUUGUGUUUUGGCAGGUACUGGUGCAAAUGAAGCAAAAACGAGUAAUAUGAAAAUAACCAGCCAGUUGGGUAGAAUGGGGUGCUAGGGACCGAAUUGAAAUUGCCACUAUUUUUCUGUGAUUGGAUCGAGCCUACUUAUCACUAUAUUAUUAUUACUAUGGGAGGCCAUAUAUGAAUUAGUUAAAAAAAAGAUAAAAGAUGACUGAUGGGAUUACAUCAUUCGAAAAGAAGUUGCCAUCAUUUUAUUAUAUGAAUUGAUUGAAUAUUGUAUACACGACAGAAGGGUUGAUAUAUUUGCAAAGGAGGAGACAAAUAAGGAGGCUGCAUAUUUUAUUUUGGGGGUGAAGAAAACCCGGCUAUUAUGUGUGGAUGAAUUGGGCCAAGCCCAUAUGAGUUGUAGAGUGGACGAACGAAAAAAAAAAGAACAGGAAUAUAUAUUCGAUGGGUUGAGUUCGAUAAAAGGAGGAUAGUUUCGAGGGUUAGAAGACAGUAGACGGCAGCAAGCAAUUUAGGAAGUUAGACGGCUGAACAGUUCGACGAACAAGCAGGCUGCGAUCAAGAGAAGAAAAGAAAGGAUUGGUUCGAGCUUCAAGCCGCGAUCAAGUUUCAAUUUUUCGGUUUUUUUAUUUUUUUUUAUUUUGACUCAAUUCUACCUACAAAGACGUAGUCUCCCAUCCCCACACUUAAAAUUUACAUUGUCCCCAAUGUAGGAU
rnacentral:lncRNA from 1 species